UACGUAGGGGGCAAGCGUUGUCCGGAUUUAUUGGGCGUAAAGAGCGUGUAGGCGGCUUUACAGGUCCGUUGUGAAAACUCGAGGCUCAACCUCGAGACGCCGGUGGAAACCGUAAAGCUAGAGUCCGGAAGAGGAGAGUGGAAUUCCUGGUGUAGCGGUGAAAUGCGUAGAUAUUCGGAAGAACACCAGUGGCGAAGGCGGCUCACUGGCCCGGUACUGACGCUGAGGUGCGAAAGCGUGGGGAGCAAACAGG
rnacentral:rRNA from 1 species